CGGCCACCAAACCUUGAAUUUCAGAACUCAAUCAAACACCAAAAUUAAGAGAAGAAACCAACAACCCCUUUUGUGACUAUUCUAGGAAACUUUUGUGAAUGUAGUUUGAUUUUCCUUUAAUCUCCAACUUGUCCUUGAUGAUGGCAAUUUUGGGGCUAUUUAUAGUCAAAAUCCGGACUCCAAAGUCCUAAUUUGAAGCACAUUUUAUGGAGAUGAGAUUUGAAUUCAAAAUUAUGACAUCCAUCUGUGAAAAUUUCAGCUUCUAUCAAGCCUUAACUACGAAUCCUCAAAAAGUUUAAUUUUUGCACAAAGUAGGGACUGAUUUUCUCUGAUUUUUGGCGAUUUGCUUACUUGGGGUGAUAAAAAUGGAAGAUUCGUGUGGGCAGGUGGAAGACAGUGGUGAUGCAGUCUAAACCUAGGUCUCUGAUUUGAGUAUGGUGGAUAGAAGGGNNNNNNNNNNNNNNNNNNNNNNNNNGAAAGAGGAGAAGGGGAUGAAGGAGGCCAUUGUUGUUGUUGUUUUGGGAAAGGGAUGAUGGAGACCCAUCAAUGUUGUUUUGGGAAGAGAGCUAAGCGUGCUUCUGCCAAAGAAGACACGUGAACUCUUGUAAUUAAUGCAUUGAUCUUGCAAAUAUUGACUCAUUUUGAUCCGUCCGAUUCAAAAAUCGAACGGUCUUAAAAGUAGCACCUUAAAAAAUAAUAAUACAAAAUAUAUAUAAAUAAAUACACGAAAAACUUAAAUAUAUAAAUAUCUUAAUAAUCCAAACAGAUGGAAGUGAUUUAGGAUGGGGAGCCAUUUUAAAAGCACGACCUAAUAAAUAUAGUAAUAAAAAUGAAGAACAAAUUUGUGGCUAUCAAAGUGGCGCGUACAAAGAAAAAGGUAAUAUGAGCGCCAUAGACUAUAUCAAUUUUGUAAAACCUACUCAGUACUCCAUAUAUAUAUAUAUAUAUAUAUAAAACAUUUAAAAAUUCGGUACCCCUCAGGUUCAAAAUAAAUCGACAGCGCAGGUCAAAUUGUAUUCAUUAAGGUGGAAUGACGAAGCAGGCAUAAAAAUUAUACUGACUAGGGAUGAUAUCCGGGCUCUUGGCUGAAAUUUAUAAAAUAAGAGUUGGGUUUGGGUGAAAAAAAUAAAAUAAAAUAAAAAAGGAAGUUGGAUUAUUGUUAGCCUGAAUACUCUUUUUCUAUUGAAAUUAAAUUUAUCGAUGCUUCCUGAUAUUCUAAAAAUUUAUUUAUUUUUAGUUUACAGACAUAAUUUGUACAAACAUCUAACUUAAUAUUUUGCGACUUUCCUAUUAACAAAAUACGUAUAUACACGUAAUAAAAAUAUAUGUACAUCUUAUAAAAGUAUAUUUUGCGUAAUAAAAAUAUACAUAUAAGGUCACAAUACUGCCCCAAAAAAUAAAGUUAGAAACAAUGUGGAUGCGACUAUCAAAAGAUACAUAUUUGCGAUUUUGAUGUCAAAAAAUAUUUAAUUAUAUUCAAUUAAAAUAAUUUUAUAAAUGAAAAUAAAUUCCCUUUUUAUUAAAACUUGUAGAAAUAGAAACAGAAAUACCAAAUCUUAUUUUUAUUUAAUUUGUGAAAAUUAUUUAGGGCCAAGAAGCAUCGAAAAACUAAUUAAAGGAAAAAGAACGAGUCAAAAUUGGGUGUCAACACCAGGCAUCCACAACCUGCCUGGGAGCCCUCAAUUAAUUUUUGGCCUAAAACACACCUGAUCCCUAGACACAUCCACUAAACCGUGAGCUAUAGCACACCAAUUUGGCUCGAAAAAGGCACGUUCACACCAUUACGCCUGUUUGACCACCCAAACGGCCCCGCCAACCGUAACGGCCCACCCCUGGCCGAUCCACAAUAUGCGUGGGAGCCCUCGAUAGAUUUUUGGCCUAAAACAUAUAUGAGCCCCCGGCACACCCAAAAAAUCAUGUGAUAUAGUACACCGAUUUGGCCUAGAAAUAGGCUAUUCACGUCGUUCUCCCCAUUUGACUACCCAAAUAGCCCCGCAAACCCCAAUGACCCACCCCAGGCCGAUCCACAACUUGCCUAGGAGCCCUUGGUAGAUUUUUUGCCCAAAACACGAUUGAUCCCUGGGCACACCUAGAAAAUCGUGAGCUACACCAAUUUCGCCUAAAAAUAACCCGUUCGAGUUGUUUCGCCUGUUUGACCACCCAAACAGCCUCGCUGAAACCAGUGACCCACCCUUGGAUGAUCCACAACCAGAUUGGGAACACUUGGUAGAUUUUUGGCCCAAAACACGAUUGGGCCCUCGGUACACCAAGAAAACCGUGAGCUAUAGCGCAACGAUUUGGCCCCAAAAUAGCCCAUUCGAGCCAUUUCACCUGUUUGACCACCCAAACAGCCUUGCUGACCCCAACGGCCCACCCCUAGUUGAUCCACUACCUUCUAGUUAUACCUCGAUCAAUUUUCAGUCAAAAAUAUGCUUAGGCCUCGAGCACACCUUGAAAAGCGUGAGCGAACACCGAUUUGAUCAAAAAUGGCCCGUUUGCACUAUUUCAGUUGUUUAACCACCCAAAUAGCCCCGCUAACCCUAACGGCCCACCCCUGGAUGAGGCAGUCCACUGCCUGCUUCAAAGCCCAAUUCAAUUUUUGGCCCAAAACACGCCAGGCCCCAGGCACACUCUGAAAAAGUGUGAGUUAUAGCAUACCAAUUUAGCCGAAAAAUGACCCAUUUGCACUAUUUUUGCCCAUUUUACCAUCCAAAUGCCCUCAAUAACCCUAAUAGCCCACCCUUAGCUGAUCCACACUUGCCUUGGAGUCCCCAGUUAAUUUUUGGCCCAAAACACUUCCGAGCCACGGGUGUUUUACAAAAAUUUUAACUUUCGAGAGAGUCAUAACUUAAUUUUGAAAAGGAAUUAAGAAACCUUCGUACGAUACUUUAAACAAUCCAAAAUAGAAAAAUCGUCUAAGUUUUGAAGUUUUAGGUAAGCGAUUCCUAUUAAUAUUUUAGGAAUGUUUUUAAGGCACAAAAAAUGUCCUCUAAUUUACGGUUAUCUGGAUUGUUUGAAAACUAUCUUUGACUAACUUUGAAAAAAUUGACUUGUUGAAAAGUGAUCGAUUUUUAGCAAAGACUUGUGUAAAAUAGAUUUAGGUGACUUAGUAAGGAUUUAACUAAGUUUAAUCAAAACUAAUAAGCAAGUAAACACAUAAAAGGGGGAAGGGAGGAGAAAGUAAAAAGAUUUAGGCCAUUGGGCCUAAUAGACCUGUCCUAGUCUAAUUGGGCUUUCGACCCCUUUCACCUGUCCUAAUCUAGUUUUCGAGCCUUUGGCUCGAGUCUUUCUCCACCUGUAUUAAAUUUACAACUUUGGCUUCGAGGUCCCAAAUAAAUGAAUGAAUGAAUAAAUAAGUAAAUAAAAUAGAUAAAGGAAACAAUAAUAAAAUAAAAUAAAAUAACAAAUGAGAUUUUUGAGUCUCUUAACCGGUUCAAAUGUGGGACUUCAACCCAUUUUUUCCUCUUUCAACUCGUUGUAUCCAUGUGCGAUUUAACCGGCUUUGGGCUUGACUCAAAAAAUGGGCCUAAUUGGCCAUGAUAGAUAUGUAAAAAAGGCCGAGUCCAUGUAGGACUCAAAUGAUUUCCAUGCAAAGGAAAAAAAUGCAUUAAAGGUAUGGGAAAGGAAGAGUAAAGGAAACCAAAGCAUGCUCAACCAAAGUAGAAAGCUAGAAUGUCUAAUAAGUGAUCAACCGGAGGAGGCUAGUAGAUGCGAAGAAAAUUUAUACAUAUUAACUACAUAAGCAAAACAACAGGGAUCCAAACAAAUAGUCGCGGGACACCCAGAAGUAGUAAGGCACACACGUCAACUCGAACAACAGGCAUAAUCAAGAUAUGAGAAUUAAACUAACCAUUAGGCGAUCGACCGAGCCUUAUAAGUUCUAACUAAUCAUCAAACUGUUUAAAUUCUGAAACUAUGUCUAAAGCAGAAGACCCCACUAAUUCACAAAAGAAGAAAUGAUUCAUGAAAUCUCAUCUUUCUUCUUUUUGCUGUUAAAUCAACAAAGGCUAGUCAGCAUUCCACUAAUUGAUCGAUGUGGGCAUCUCCUGAAUAUUUUAGACAAAAUAUGAUUGUCCAUAAAUGCUAAAGGGAAGACUCAGGAUGCAUGUUGGUUCUUACGACAAAAAGCAACACCAAAAAUGUUGAAGUUGGAACUGUAGGACACAAAAAGGUGGAGAGAAAGAAGAUGCUAUGAUUACUAAUCAAAUAAAUUAAUGAAGUUUCAUCCUUUUUAUAAAGAUGACCAAGUAAAGUAUUAUUACAGCAUAUUACAACAAUCUAUCCCCUAGAAGCACACAGUAAUAUAAGACAUAAAUUCAGGAAAACUAAGGAGGCAAGCAACAAGAAAUAAGAAAAAAAAGAGAUAGAGAGAGUUAGAAAAAGCAUAUAAAGGAAAACCGAUACGUAAUUGACUAAAUAGAACGCCAUAACAUGGAUCUUCAAAAAAUAAAUGUUGAUUAACCAACAAGGAGAUAUACUCGUAAGGGCGAAACAUUAACACGAAAAUUGGCCGAUACCGAAGCAACAAAGGAAACUAGAAAAUGAAUCCAUUUCUAGACCAAUUUUUUUUAAAAAAAAUAUUGACAGGCCUAAAGGGGCAUUAUUAGAAACUUAAAAGGCAACCUUUUUGAGAAAGAGUCCUCUGUAUCAAAGUUGCAUUCAAGAAAAAACCAGUAGGAACUACUAAUGCGCAGCUAAAACUUCAAGCAUCAAAUAGUAAAUACUGAUGAACAACCAAAGCUUCUUUCUUGGACUCCAAAUACUAUAGAUACCGACUCAAAUAGUUAUGAUAGUAAGGGUCUUAGUGCCUAAGGCAACUACUGUAUGAUAAUCAAACCCGACAAAACAAGGGCCGAAAUGCAUUUAACAAUCCCAAACAAUCUAAAGUAGGACUUUGGCAGCAGUCUUUCGAAAGAUAGAGACAGACCAUAGUGAUGUUCUACUCCGUCCUUCAGCCUUGCUUUCGAGAGCAAAAUGAAUAUGACUUCAUCCCUCUUUUCUUGAUGACAUUGACCAAGAAAAAGAAAUCAGGGGGAAUCCUCACUCCAAACAUAAACUACGCGUAUAGCAUAAUGGGAAUAAAAGUAGAGAAAUUCUCCUCAAACUGACCCAUUCAAGUAUCCGUCAAUUCAAUAGAACACUAGCAAAUUUACUUUAUAAUCAUAACACACAAAUCGAAAGCAAACAGAAAUCUAAAUUUCAGAUUUUUGAUAUCAAAAAGUGCGACCAACAAACAAAAAAUGGCAAGGUAGACAACCUCAGAUGUAACAACGAAUCAAAACGACUAUCAGCGCGAGACUAUCAAACGCAUUAGAGAAUGAAACUUUAGCUAUGAAACCAGCUCUGAAAAACCAUCGUUAGCCCGAAACUACUAAAUAAAUUCAAAGCAUGAAACGUUAUUAUGAUAUUAGCUAUAACAAAACAUCGUUAGCCCGAAACUACCAAACAAAUUCAAAGCAUGAAACUUUAUUAUGAAACUAACUGUAACAAGACGUCGUUAGCCCAAAACUACAAAACGAAUUAAAAACAUGAAACUUUAUUAUGAAACUCGCUAUAACAAGACAUUUUAGCCCCAAACUAUUAAACAAAGUUAAAGCAUGAAAUUUUACUGUGAAACCAGCUUAUUCAAAUCUCAACCAGUAUACAAAAUGAGAGUAUUCGAUCAAAAAUCCAUUAACAAACGUUGUUCAGACCACAUAACAUGCCAUAAAUCAAAAGAAAGAACAUAGAUUAAAAUAGUGGAUUUAAAAGUAUUUUGGUGAAGAACAUGUCUUUAACAGUACUAAGAAGUAACAUCGUACACAUUGAUUCAAAUAUCGACAUGACGAUAACUAUCACGAACGAAACCUACGGCUAUCAAAGCCAUCUACAAGCAAACAACCCAACAUACAAUAUUACUAAGGACUUACUCACAACUACAGAAGGUCGAGAUGAAGCAGAAGCAAUCGAAAGCUCAAUGGAAUGGGAUAUUACCUGUUCGGGAGCAGCAAAAUGGAACCUCGAUCUCCUUUGGACUUCACUACCACAGGAAAAUUCAAUGCCGCUAUGAAAGUCUCGACUAGUCGAUUGCCUUCCCUAAAAAUUUUACUGAUGGAAAUUCUCGCCUAUUCUUGCGACCAAUUUUUUUCCCUUUUGUUUGGGUGUGUAUUUCUGUUUUGUAAAAAAAAUUUCCCAACCCUGAAAUUAGUACCAAGUGGGUUCUUAUGUAGAAGACAGAAUUGGGGGUAUUUUAGGGAUUUAAAAAUAGGAUAUUUUGAAUUUGAUUUUCGAAAAUCCCUCCACAGCUUGGGUUUCAUCAAUAAUUUGUACCAGUUUUUGGAUUUCAUGAGAGAAAUUGAAAUGGGCGGGCCAAUACCAUUUGGGAAAAAUGAAUUGUACUCCAGGACCAAUGAAUAUCAUCCAACUACGUACGAAAUCGUACCAAUUAUCCUGAGAUUCGCAAAAUUAUCCGUUGGAGACGACACCUAGACUUGUUCUAGAAGAUUUUAGGACCUUCUUUGUCCUACUAUCGCAUGAGACGCGCGUGGUGAAGGGUAGGGUCAGAUUGUAGAUGGUUUUCUCGAUUUUGGGUUGAGUUUGGCCUUAUUGUGGUUGUUUCUGGGUUGAUACAAUUUUAGUUUUGGUUAUGGUGUUAUCGUGAUUUUGCUGUUGUUCUCGUGUGUUGCUGUUCGGCUGUGUUGAAGAAGGAGGAAAAAAGGAGUGGGCCUAUCAGUUGUAGAAUUGUUG
rnacentral:lncRNA from 1 species